AAAAAAGGUAAGCUACUAAGAGCGAAUGGUGGAUGCCUUGACUGGUAAAGGCGAUGAAGGACGUACUAGACUGCGAUAAGCUACGGGGAGCUGUCAAGAAGCUUUGAUCCGUAGAUUUCCGAAUGGGGCAACCCAAUGUAUAGAGAUAUACAUUACCUAUAUAGGAGCGAACGAGGGGAAUUGAAACAUCUUAGUACCCUCAGGAAAAGAAAUCAAUAGAGAUUGCGUCAGUAGCGGCGAGCGAAAGCGCAAGAGGGCAAACCCAGUGCUUGCACUGGGGGUUGUAGGACUGCAAUGUGCAAGAGGUGAGUUUAGCAGAACAUUCUGGAAAGUAUAGCCAUAGAGGGUGAUAGUCCCGUAUGCGAAAAACAAACCUUAGCUAGCAGUAUCCUGAGUAGGGCGGGACACGAGAAAUCCUGUCUGAAGCUGGGUCGACCACGAUCCAACCCUAAAUACUAAUACCAGAUCGAUAGUGCACAAGUACCGUGAGGGAAAGGUGAAAAGAACUGAGGUGAUCAGAGUGAAAUAGAACCUGAAACCAUUUGCUUACAAUCAUUCAGAGCCCUAUGUAGCAAUACAGGGUGAUGGACUGCCUUUUGCAUAAUGAGCCUGCGAGUUGUGGUGUCUGGCAAGGUUAAGCAAACGCGAAGCCGUAGCGAAAGCGAGUCUGAAUAGGGCGCUUAGUCAGAUGCUGCAGACCCGAAACGAAGUGAUCUAUCCAUGAGCAAGUUGAAGCUAGUGUAAGAACUAGUGGAGGACUGAACCCAUAGGCGUUGAAAAGCCCCGGGAUGACUUGUGGAUAGGGGUGAAAGGCCAAUCAAACUUCGUGAUAGCUGGUUCUCUCCGAAAUAUAUUUAGGUAUAGCGUUGUGUCGUAAUAUAAGGGGGUAGAGCACUGAAUGGGCUAGGGCAUACACCAAUGUACCAAACCCUAUCAAACUCCGAAUACCUUAUAUGUAAUCACAGCAGUCAGGCGGCGAGUGAUAAAAUCCGUCGUCAAGAGGGAAACAACCCAGACUACCAGCUAAGGUCCCUAAAUCUUACUUAAGUGGAAAACGAUGUGAAGUUACUUAAACAACCAGGAGGUUGGCUUAGAAGCAGCCAUCCUUUAAAGAAAGCGUAAUAGCUCACUGGUCUAGUGAUUUUGCGCGGAAAAUAUAACGGGGCUAAAGUAAGUACCGAAGCUGUAGACUUGCACACAACUUAGAUUAUUUAAGUUUAGAAUAUGAGAAACUAAGUUAUAUGUUUAGUUAUAUUUUUACUGAUUUUUAUAGAGUAAAGAUAGAAAUAAAACUUAGUAAAAUCAGUAAAAAUAUUCUUAGACUAAAGUUAAGUAGUUUAAGUUGUGUGCAAGUGGUAGGAGAGCGUUCUAUUUGCGUCGAAGGUAUACCGGUAAGGAGUGCUGGAGCGAAUAGAAGUGAGCAUGCAGGCAUGAGUAGCGAUAAUUAAUGUGAGAAUCAUUAACGCCGUAAACCCAAGGUUUCCUACGCGAUGCUCGUCAUCGUAGGGUUAGUCGGGUCCUAAGUCGAGUCCGAAAGGGGUAGACGAUGGCAAAUUGGUUAAUAUUCCAAUACCAACAUUAGUGUGCGAUGGAAGGACGCUUAGGGCUAAGGGGGCUAGCGGAUGGAAGUGCUAGUCUAAGGUCGUAGGAGGUUAUACAGGCAAAUCCGUAUAACAAUACUCCGAGAACUGAAAGGCUUUUUGAAGUCUUCGGAUGGAUAGAAGAACCCCUGAUGCCGUCGAGCCAAGAAAAGUUUCUAAGUUUAGCUAAUGUUGCCCGUACCGUAAACCGACACAGGUGGGUGGGAUGAGUAUUCUAAGGCGCGUGGAAGAACUCUCUUUAAGGAACUCUGCAAAAUAGCACCGUAUCUUCGGUAUAAGGUGUGGUUCGCUUCGUAUUAGGAUUUACUCCGAAAGCGAAGAAACUUACAACAAAGAGUCCCUCCCGACUGUUUACCAAAAACACAGCACUCUGCUAACUCGUAAGAGGAUGUAUAGGGUGUGACGCCUGCCCGGUGCUCGAAGGUUAAUUGAUGGGGUUAGCAUUAGCGAAGCUCUUGAUCGAAGCCCGAGUAAACGGCGGCCGUAACUAUAACGGUCCUAAGGUAGCGAAAUUCCUUGUCGGUUAAAUACCGACCUGCAUGAAUGGCGUAACGAGAUGGGAGCUGUCUCAAAGAGGGAUCCAGUGAAAUUGUAGUGGAGGUGAAAAUUCCUCCUACCCGCGGCAAGACGGAAAGACCCCGUGGACCUUUACUACAGCUUGACACUGCUAUUUGGAUAAGAAUGUGCAG
rnacentral:rRNA from 1 species